CUAUACAUGACUCUGCGCAUAUCAAUAAGCGGCGGAAAAGGAAUGUCAUUACAGCGAAAUGAAACUACCUACGCUUAGGAUGUUGAAGAUAUGCGCGACACGACUCUAUACAUGACUCUGCGCAUAUCAAUAAGCGGAGGAAAAGGAGUAUACCUACGCUUAGGAUGUUGAAGAUAUGCGCGACACGACUCUAUACAUGACUCUGCGCAUAUCAAUAAGCGGAGGAAAAGAAACUAACAAGGAUUCCCCUAGUAACGGCGAGUGAAGCGGGAAGAGCUCAAAUUUGAAAUCUUAAAGGGUUUCCCUUUACGAAUUGUAGUUUAAAGAAGUGUUUUCUGUUGGAGUUUCGGUAAAAGUUCUUUGGAAUAGGACAUCAUAGAGGGUGAGAAUCCCGUAUUUGACCGUUACUUUCCAGCUGUGUGAUACACUUUCAAAGAGUCGGAUUGUUUGGGAAUGCAGUCCAAAAUGGGUGGUAAAUUUCAUCUAAAGCUAAAUAUUGGCGAGAGACCGAUAGCGAACAAGUACCGUGAGGGAAAGAUGAAAAGAACUUUGAAAAGAGAGUUAAACAGUACGUGAAAUUGUCAAAAGGGAAGCGUUUGACACCAGUGUUGUUUUUCCGAAAAUCAAUUACGAAUGUUUUGUUUUUAAGAAGUUAUGACUUCAUCGGCUUGCUUCUUUCUUUACGAAACUUUCUUAAUGCACUUUUCGGUUAACAAGUCAACAUCAAUUUCUUUUGUUGUAAAAGGGUAUGAGGAAGGUGGCUUUCUUUUCGGAGAAAGUGUUUAUAGCCUUGUACCUCUGCAAUCGGAGAGAUUGAGGUCUGCAGCGUAGAUCCUUCGGGGUUAGAUACAUUUGUGCUAAGUUAUAGCUUUUCAUAGACAACUUGUUGACUAUGUUAAGUCUUGUAGCUUACUCGCUUAUGCUAUUUUACCUACGCUUAGGAUGUUGAAGAUAUGCGCGACACG
rnacentral:rRNA from 1 species